UUCUAAAACACCAAUAAAUAAAUAAACCUUAUGAAGGUUCACUAAAAUUAAUGAAAUUACAUGGAUAGAGGAAGGUUUUUUGUGGUGCUACAACUUUUCACAUGGUAAUUAUUACAAUCAUAUUUUCAACAAAAAAUAAAAUAAAAUUAAAAAUUAAACCAGCAUAUUUCAAUUGACUUCCUUUACUUCACAGACAUUGAUUUCAAAUUUUCUUUCAAGGGAUACAAUCAUAUGUCAUCUAGUGGCUUCACUACAAACACAUCCACCUAAAAAAGUCAAGCCAAAUGUCUCCUUUGUGAUUUAAGCCAAGAGGAAGACCUCACUUGUGCAGAUCUGCAAUGGGUAUAGGUAGUUAAUUCUCACUUUGACAAUUCCAACUUAAUUGUUAGAAAUGAAAAUGAAACUCAAGCCACAAUGAAAUCAGAAAAUUAGUAAAACAUAACCUAAAAUGAAACAAUACUCCAUUCAGACAUUUCAACAAACAAUUGUAAUAGUUGUAGGCUAAACGUUUGCCUUGGUUAUGCUUUAGCUGAUGAGCUCUGAUUCGUAGCUUGAAUUCGGAGGCUCGAAUUUGGUCCGAAUUCGGAGAAGAGGGAGAAGAGAAGAAGAAAAAGGAAGAAGAAGAAGAAGAGAAGAAGAAGGAGAAGAAGAACUGGACUGGAGGGGGCCAUCAAAAUCAGAGGUGGAGGCGGAGGUGGAGGCGGAGGCGCCGACCGGUGGAGGCAGAGGCGGAGGCGGGGCCGAGCGACGAGCUGCGAUGCCAACGAGCUGUGUUCAACGACGUCGACGAGCUGUGUCCGACGAGCUCUGUUUCUCUCUCGCCUCUGCCCUGCUCUCUCUCGCCUGUGUUCAACGAAGAAGAAGAAGAAAAGAAAUAAAGAAAAGGACGAUAAAGAAAACGAAGAAAAAGAAGAAAAAAAAAAGAAUGGCAAAACGACGUCGUUUUGCCAUUCGAGCCAAAAUCGAGCCACGAAUUUCGAGCUAUCAGUUAUUUUCCUUAGCUAAUUUGGCUGGGUCUACUCACAUUGUACCAGAUGUCAGUUUUUGAUAGGUCUGUGGCACCACGUGGUGGAAGUGACGUGGUGCCAUUGGGACCAUGAAUGAAUAAUCUCUCCUUCCCAAUUCCUUCCUCAUAAUUAUUGUUCUCUCACUACAAAAGUCAUCACAAAAGUCUUCCCAGUUCCUUCCUCGCAUCAUAGUGACCUCGUUAUUCACACUAUAUCUUCCAUCACUCUCCUUCUAUCUUUUCCAUUGCAAUUGUUCUUUCUCCAUUUGAAAUUUCCAAACCCCUCAGAAGAAUUUACGGACUUGAUCUGCUUUUUGAUUUUUUGCAACAAUAUUCUUCUAGCAAAGCAUCUUGGUUUCUCUCUGGCUUGAAAGGAAUAGGCCACACCAUGGAAAACAUUCGUUCAGCCAUUGAAAUUGGGAAGAAUUUGUGUGAUUUAACUGGACCAUGGAUUGAAUAUCACAAUAACCUUGAUACUAACAUGGAAACUCUCAAAAGGAAGACAGAGCAAUUGAAUGGCCGAAACAAUGACAUAAAUGAAGAAGUGAAUUAUGCAGAGCAGCGGUCAAGGAAAAGACGAAGGGUUGAAGUUAAACUUUGGCAAGAAGAUGAGCGAAGGAUAACAGAUGAUGUCCAAACUUUGGAAAGACAAGAGCCAGAAGUACGAGGAUUGAAGAUGCCUUCAAACGAGCAGAGUUGGGAAAGCGUGUAGUGGAGACGAUUAAAGAGGUGGAAAAAUUGCAUGAAAAUGGUGGAUUUUGUUAUGGUUUGCUAAUUGAUGAUCCAACUUGUGGACACGCCAUACCAGCAACGGAAUCUUUGGCUGAAACCACAAGUGUGAGGAACAAGGAGAAAAUUUGGAAUUUCUUGAUGGAUGAUGCGGUUAGAAAAAUCGGUGUUCGGGAAAUGAGGGGAGUUGGCAAAACAACCAGCAUGAAACACAUCAAUAAUCAACUUUUGGUUGAAACUUGUACCUUUAAUGAUGUUAUUUGGGUUACAGUAUCUAAAGCAUUCAAGAUCAAAAAUCUACAAAGGUAGAUAGCUAAGAAACUGAAUCUUGGUCUUUCUGAUUAUGAGGAUAAAUUGCGUACAGCAUCAGAAAUACAUA